rnacentral:lncRNA from 1 species
AAACUGGUUGUCUGGCAAGGCAAAGUGACUCAGAGGAGAUCAGGCUACCAACUCUAUGGCCUGCUCUCAGUACAUGAGACCUUCAGGAUGGAAAAAAAUAACUAACUCUUUCAAGUUUUAUAUUCAAUUGAACCAGAAGUGCUAGGGUCGUACAGGAUUCCACCCUUGUCCUUGACAGCAGAGAAGAAGUAAAAACAUAAUUUAAAAAUUUUUUAUGGAAACAAAUUUAAUUGUGUGUAGUUUAGGUACAGCUCUUCGGAACACUGUAGACAUUGGCUUGAAUAAUUUUAUAUUUAACAUCUAAUUUCAUUUAAACCAUGAAAACCUAUAUUCAUAAUUUUAGAUAUAUUUUCCAAAGAAGAAAUGUGUCACAUUUUUUUAUAUUGCAAGAAAAUAACUUGUGUUUAGAUUAUAUCUGUUUUUAAAAGAAACUACAGACUUUAAAAUUCACAUUUUCUUUUAUUUUUCAAUUUUAUUGAAUGAAAUUUUUUAUUUUAUUUUUAUUUCAAAUUUUAUCCUUCUUCCCAGUUUUCCCUUCACAAACUCCUUAUCCUUUCCCACCUCCCCUUUGCUUCUAUGACAGUACUUCCCUACUCACCCACACACUAGCCUCAGUGCCCUAUCAUUCCCCUAUGCUGUGGCAUCGAGCCUCCACAGGACUAAGGGGCUCCCCUCAAUUGAUGUCUCAUAAUGCAAUCCUCUGUUACAUAUACAGCUGGAUCCAUGGGUUCCUCCAUGUGUGCUCUUUGGUUGGUGGUUUAGUCCCUGGGUCUGGUUGGUUAAUAUUGUUGUUCUUCCUAUGGGAUUGCAAACCCCUUCAGCUCCUUCAGUCCUUUCUCUAACUCCUUCAUUGAGGUCCUUGUGCUCAGUCCAAUGGUUGGAUGAAAGCCUCUUCCUCUGUAUUUGUCAGGUUCUGGCAGAGCCUCUCAGGGGACAGCCAUACCAGGCUCCUGUCAGCAAGUGCUUCUUGGCAUCAGCAAUAGUGUCUGGGUUUUGUGUCUGCAGAUGGAAUGAAUCUCUUGGUGGGGGAUUGAGAUAAUACAAUGAUAAAAAUAUAAAAUAGCGUGGAAAAUACUUGCGGUCAAUUCACCUACAUCUGAACAUUUAAACUUUAUUAUUGUUCUAAGUUACCUGGCUGAACACUCUACUUGUGUUCUUAAUAUAGAUAUUGUACUGUGUUAUCUGGGUGGCAAUCAUCUAAACAUAGAAGCUCAUAAAUUAGAGGUUUUCCUCCUGCUGAGUUCGGCAGAGAAGGGAACAUUGAUGAUAACUUGUUAGAUCCUCGAGUAGAAUGCAACAGACAUUUUUUUUUCAGUACAAUUUUACUUAUAUUUUAUUGACAUCUUUCCAAAUAGAAAAAAAAUCAUCUGCUCAUGCAACAUAAUUGUUAUGUUUGGUUGCUACAUGUAACUUUUAAUAUUUCAAAUUUUAAAUUAAGUUUUCACUAUUGUGUUAAGUCAGUGAUAAAAAUAUUUUGUCAUCAAUAUUUUGCAAACUGUGUUUUAAACGCAAUACAUGCUAACAUGCUUAAUCAAUGCCAAUUUUUGUUUAUAUUAAAUAGUUUAUAUAAAUUAUUUGCCUUAGUGUGAAACUUCCUAUACUGGAAGAUUAAUUUUACUCAUUAAUAUAUCACAAACCAGAGGUAGAUACUCUAUACUGCUAUACAUGGUAGUAAAGUAAGAAUGUCUAAAUGAUUUUUUGACCUAAAACAAAAGCCAUGGAAUAUUCUUUUGAAUACAGCACCAAAUGCAUUCACCUCCAAGUUUAAAAACAAGGAAAGAGAAGACACAUAUAUAUAUAUAUUAUGGGCUAGGCCAUCAAGAAUGUUCACAAAUCAGUUUAUUUAUUUUAUAUUGUAUACCUAUUUAUAGAACAAUACUAAAAAAUCUGUGAGAACAUUUAUAAAGGUUGUGAAUUACAAAGUUUCAAAAUGUAUUUCCAAACCUACUUCCACAAAACAUAUUCUACUCUGCUUGUCUUCAAGUUAAAAAUUCUAGACAGCAUAUUUUAGUUGAUCAUAUAAUAAACAUUGAUAAUGAUCCAACAGAGUAAUCAUAUUUUAUCUUCUUGCCCCAUGCUUGUCGAGGACGUCUACACAUUUAAAAUGUUUAUUUUCUUUUUAUCCCAUAUGCUGACAGAAGCUCUCCCUGAACUGAAGAUCAUCUUUGAGCUACAAUAUCUAAUAACCUGCUAUGUUUACUGAAAGUGCAAGAACACUUGCUCAGAAUCACCCAAGAGUGAUGUGUGGACCAGGCAGACUGGGUAGUAUUAAGCUUAUUUUCUUCUGCCUGACCAGAUGCACUGACUCAGAAGUAUAUCAGAGAGAUGUGCAGACCUUCUUGUCCGUGAUCAUUCUAGAUUGUGUAAUUGUAAAUAUGCUCAAAAAGUUGAAACUAGAGUCUGACAGAUAAUCCCUCCCAACUCCAGACACAUAUACAUAGUACCUACAUGUUAACUAGUUAGGGAAUAGCUUCGACUAGAGCACUAUUUCACCAGUUAAGAUCAGUCCCUGCCCCUACUUUAGGACCUGGGUUCAAUUAUUAGUUGCCCACCGGAUCUCUCACAACCAUCUGUAACUCUAGGUUCAGAGAAUGCCUUCUUCUCUGCUAAGUGGGUACUAGGGACUCAGGUGGCAUAGAUAUAUACCAAUCAAACAUAUACAUAUGAAGUGAAAAUAAAUGUUAAUUAAAAAAGAAGAGUAGUACAUUAUCAAAAUGUUUUUUAAACUACAUGUAGUAAUACAUCCCUCACAAUUGUACUCAUUAUAAUACUAAAAGUAUCAUAAAGUAAAUUAAUAAUAACAGCAAUUAAUAACAUAAUAAUAACAAUAAUAAUAAAAUACCUGAGUAUUGUGCAAACUGAGAGAAAGAUGUCUUCUAAGAAUUCCGGAAUCUGAAAUUACAUGCCUGGAAAAGGGAAGCAAGCAUAUUAGUAUGAGAAUCCCAACAAGAUGUUCUUUUUAAUCUUCUCUCCACAUAUUUCAAUCACAGCUCAUCAGGUGUUCAGGAAAACUGAUGGAAUGCCUGCUAGGUGGAGACAUUUUUC